rnacentral:lncRNA from 1 species
CCUGCUUUUUGCAAGAAUGAUGGCCCUUUUUAGACUUAGAAAAUCAUGGGUAGGACAAUAUUUCUAUUACACAAAAAAAAUCAGAUGAGCGUCAGCACCCGCAAGGCGGUGCUCUUGUUAUGUGUUUCAUUUGCUCGUAGCUUUUUAACAUGUUUAAAUUGAUCUGUAACCAACAGUAUUUGCUUAAAAGUCCAAAUUUUAUUUAAGUUAUAUUAAUAUUACUUUUUGUGUUUAAUUGACUGUUUAAUGUUUGCAUAAAGAAGGUUGAGUAACCUAUAUUUGGGGACUCUGUGGGUUCUAGCCUCUUUCAGGGCGUUGAAAUCUCCAUAUAGGGAAGCCAUCCAGCUGGCUUACGGAAGGUCGGUGGUUCUGCUCAGGUGCCUGCCUGUGAUAAAAUAACGCACGGCGGGGCACCUAGGGUCUUUCUCCACCAUCAAAGCUGGAAAGUCUCCAUGUGACCCUGUGACCAUGUCGGUGCGACGUUAAACCCAAUAAAAACAAAAACAAAUGAGCUACCUAUAUGAGCGCCGCUGUGGGAAGCCGAUGAUCGGUAAGGAGCUAGGUUAGUGCACAUAUCUACUGUUUCCUUAUCCCAACAUCGGCACUGUUUAUCAGGUCAAGCACUUGUAUGCAGCUAAUAAGCUAUCAGUGUUUGCAUGGACUACACAAUGCCUUCGUUCAUGCUAAAUAUACGAAAUCUCAAUCUGUCCGAGAAUAGUGUACUUGUGUAGUAACUGCUUGAUUUUAUAGAUCUGUCUCAAAUGUAUUAUGUAUUUGUUAGGUUACGCUUCUAGCCCUUUUACCAUGAUUUGAACAAUUCUUGAAAUUAGUAAAGACACAAGGGGUUAAAGGUUCACAUUGUCCUGUUAUGCGAAAGACUAUUAUCCAACAUGAAAUUGUUCAUUUCAUAUAUGCAGGGUUCAUAUAACUUACAUCAUUUUUAUGUAGAGUCCCAGACUCUGUGAACUAGAUCCAUGUAAUUGUUAUUGAAGGAGGGUUUAUUGUAUAGAAGUGUUAUAUUAAUCAGAGCCAAAAAGUCUGACUUUUUAUAUUAUUCUGUGUAAAUUAAGUUCAUAGAUAUGUUGUUGUGUAAUACAUUCAAUUAUCUCAGUCCUGUGUAUUAGUAUAAGUUUUUUCUAGCAUGCUCAGGCUAAUUGUACAUUUGCCUUCAAACCAGUACUUUUUUAUUUUUACAAUUAUAAAAGAAAGCAAUUUUUUAUGUGCAAGAAUUUGUAUGUCCCUGUUUCCUCGUACGUUCAACUAAUUUAUUAAUUCAGGGUUGUUUGAAAUGAACCAAUAUUUUUUCCCACCAGAUCUGUUCUAUUUUCUUUUUUUUUUGUUUCAAAACCAUCCUUUUUGUUUUGUAUAUAAUGUUUUGACGUCCAUUUUUGUUAUUUUAACAUGAUGUUACAACGUGAACUGUAGAUUUUCUGCUUUUUUUUCUCCUUGUCUGAAAAUUUAAUUAAAGUUGUUUCCAGAGAAAGAUUUAACACAAAAUAGGAAACUUUUGACCAUUGAAUAGAGCAAAGUAUUUUUUGAAAGUAGAUUAAAUUUUUUAAAUACCCCGUUUUAGUUUUUAUCUUGUCAAGAAAAAGAUAAAACUUCAUAUCGGUUAUUUUUGUGUUCUCUACCUCUUAUGUUAUUCAUUUUAUUACAAGGUUGUUAGUUUUAGCACAAUAGAAAGAAAAUUUUAUUUUGCUUUGUUGGCUAUUCGAUUCUAUUUAUUUAUAUAUUAUUGAAAUUGUUCUGUUAUUUUUUUAUAUAUUUUUUAUGUUUUAAAAUAGAUCUGGGACAAGCUAGGACUGAAUAAUGUGGCCAUGAACUCGUGAAAAUGGGAGAGAAAGCGAAAUAAAAAAUUCCUUUAGGGAAAAUUAAGGGAAUAGGGAAUUUAGAAAAGAUUCAGAAAUUAUAAGGAAAUAAAAACUAGAAGAAUCUUACAAAAGUUGGAGAAAAUAUUAUCAUUGGCUUUCUUUCAUGACGAGAACUUUUUUUCUAGAAUUGUAUGAAUGUAAAAUGUCAGAAAAAGAGCUUGGCUUAAUGUUGGGGUGGUAAAGGCAUGCUAAUAUCUUCAAAAAUUAAUGUACACGGCCCAUUAAUAAUCGCCUGUGACUAAAAUUAAGACAUGGAGCACCUGUGAUAAAUUACAGAUUCCGGUGUAUACCGGAUUCAAGCGAUUUGAAUGAUAGGUAUCUUUAAUGUAUAUGUCUUGUUACCACGGUAAUCCUAGUCCUAAUCUUUAGUCCAGUAUAAUUUGCCUAUUACACACUAAAUGUGUGCGGACUUGCAAUGAUUUGCGUAUCUUUGUUGUGCGCGCUCCGAUUGGUAAUCACUUCAGGACAUGCACAGAAUACUGCUCCAGGUCUGUAGUGAGUAACAUCGUCAAUACUCCAAUUGUUAAACAUGCAAAUUGUGUUAACAAUGUUUUAGUGAGUUCAUGGACCACUUCUUUGAGUAUAGAUUCACUGCUUUGUAUGUAGAGUCCUCUUACCAACCGGGCUCAUAGAAGAUACAAAGGCGAUGAGAUCUUCCUCUUCGAUUCAGUCUCGAAAUCUCCUUUGUCUAGUGAGUUACUUUAAACCCAAUACAGGUAUUAUCUAGUGAGUUACUUUAAACCCGAUACAUGUUUUAUGUAGUCUUACUUUAAAACCAAUACAUGUCUUGUGUAGCGAGUUACUUAAAACCAAAUACUUGUAUUAUCUAGUGAGUCACUUUAAAACCAAUACAUGUCUUGUGUAGUGAGUUACUUAAAACCCAAUACUUGUAAUUAUCUAGUGAGUUACUUUAAAACCAAUACAUGUCUUGUGUUGCGAGUUACUUAAAACCCAAUACUUGUAUUGUCUAGUGAGUUACUUAAAGUCCAAUACAUGUAUUGUGUAGUGAGUUACUUAAAACCCAGUACAUGUAUAUUGCUUGCUCCAAAAUGAAGUCAUAUCAAGUUAACAUUUCCUGUAUAAAAAAAACCUGUCUGUUAUUCUGUUAUACAGUUAAGUGUUCAGAAUUCGUUUCAUUUAUCUUAAUGUGUAUACCUUGUAGAAAUAUGUUUUGUUAAACAUUAAGAAAUGAUCUAGUUUAUACUUUAGGUCUGUAUAUGUAUGUGUUAAAUAUUACAAUCGGGAAUUAGAAUAGAUGUUGUCAAUCUUUAAUGUAUUUAAGUUUAGUAAGCUGCUCAUGUUCUCAAAUCCUUAUCUGCCUCAGAAUACAUUUUAGUCAGACAAGUUCUGUGCCAUUACUUGUGGAAAUGACAAUACUUAAAUGUCAGAAACGUAGAUUUUGUCAUAGAAAUGACAGCUUUUCAAUGGGGUGCUGAUUUCAAUGAAAGUAAGUGGACCCCAUAGGUGUAAAACUGUACAUCUUUAUUUUUUUUGUAUUCUCGUAAAAGUUUAUUGUUCUGAUUUAGAACUUUGAUAAAUGAUAGUCCAGACCACAUUAUAAAUUAUUAACACUAUUUGUAACAUUCUCAACUCCAUUAAAAGCGUGAUUUAAUAUUGAUACAAAAAUAGUGUCUUGCCUGCUUUUGAACUUUUAUUAAUUACCUUGGAUGGAAAAUAAGAUUUGUACAGAUUGUAUCAACAGCAACAACAUUAAGCAUCACCGACCACACUACAUACCGCGUAAGUUCUCUGUCCUGCGUCAAAAAUCAUUUGUCCACCACAUCUACAUCUGAUUCAUGCAUGUUGGGAAGUUUGCUGUUAAGGAGAACAGGUUUGUACUGGUACAGAAUCCAGGAACUCUGGUAAGGUUAGUUAACUGCUCGCUGUUACAUAACUGAAAUGCGGUUGAUAAACCCAGAACAAACAAACGAAUAUACACUAUUGAUCCAAAUAAUUGUUGUAGUUCUUACAGGACAUAAUUAUAUAUUCCGUUUUAAAACUAAAUUAAAAAUGUCAUUUCUAAAGGAUUUUAGAAAAACUUAAUCCAGGAAAUUUAGUCUUGAAAAAGAAAGAUGCACGUUUUGCGUUGUGUUGAAAUAUGUGCUGCACGCUCAUUUUGUCUUUUUCGAAUUUUUGUAAAACUUCAACUGCUGUAAAACACAUAGAAUAUCUGCACCUGAGCGUACAGUGAAUAAAUGUUUAAAACGCAAUGCUCUGUAAUAUAUCCUGCUUUUGGUGCUUUGUGUUUUAUUACAAAAAAAGAUGAACGAAUGCAGCUUCGAAUGUUUUCAGUUAUAUAGUAUAAAAUCAGAAAUAUUUGGGAGGGAUUUAUUCUUGAUACUUUCCUCAGCUUCCCAUAUUCAUGAAACUUAAUAUUUGUGAAAGUGCUAUUUUUGUCAUAAAUUAACUUUUACAAGUAUUAUAUAAAAUGAAUAUUUUACCACUCGAGCCUCUUAUAGCCUUGCUAAAAUAUUUUGUUUGGCAUAUUAGAAUUUUUUAAUUGUUGCUUGGAAUAUUUACUUAUGACUAUGUAGAUACAGGAAAUAUGCAUGUAAAAUACAAAAAUAGUGUAGUAAAACACAGGGAGUUAGAAAACAUCCCAAGAAAUUCGUAAGUUUUGUCAGUUUCACAUACUUUUGUCAAUUCCACAUACUUUUGUCAGUUCUACAUACUUUUGUCAGUUGUACGUAAAUUUGUCAGUUGUUCGUAGUUUUUCAGAUAAACGUUGUUUCCUUUAGUAUGUAUAACAACAAUUUUUCCUUAAAUUUAUGCAGCUUCAAUGCCUCUGUUGAUGGUUUUAGAAGAAUAAACGUUUUAAAAAUGUU